rnacentral:tRNA from 1 species
AAGGGGGUUUAACUAGACUGCUAACCUAGUACUCCAAAACUAACCACUUGGCCCUCUCA